GAGAGUUUGAUUCUGGCUCAGGACGAACGCUGGCGGCGUGCCUAACACAUGCAAGUCGAGCGAGGAGAUUCCCUUCGGGGAUGAACCUAGCGGCGGACGGGUGAGUAACACGUGGGCAACCUACCUUAUAGAGGGGAAUAGCCUUCCGAAAGGAAGAUUAAUACCGCAUAACAUUACAUUUUCGCAUGAAAAAGUAAUUAAAGGAGUAAUCCGCUAUAAGAUGGGCCCGCGGCGCAUUAGCUAGUUGGUGAGGUAACGGCUCACCAAGGCGACGAUGCGUAGCCGACCUGAGAGGGUGAUCGGCCACAUUGGGACUGAGACACGGCCCAGACUCCUACGGGAGGCAGCAGUGGGGAAUAUUGCACAAUGGGGGAAACCCUGAUGCAGCAACGCCGCGUGAGUGAUGAAGGUCUUCGGAUCGUAAAGCUCUGUCUUCAGGGACGAUAAUGACGGUACCUGAGGAGGAAGCCACGGCUAACUACG
rnacentral:rRNA from 1 species